CAGCCGCCACGGUAAAACGAAGGGUGCAAGCGUUACUCGGAAUUACUGGGCGUAAAGCGUGCGUAGGUGGUGGUUUAAGUCCGUUGUGAAAGCCCUGGGCUCAACCUGGGAAUUGCAGUGGAUACUGGGUCACUAGAGUGUGGUAGAGGAUAGUGAAAUUUCCGGUGUAGCAGUGAAAUGCGUAGAGACCGGAAGGAACAUCUGUGGCGAAGGCGACUAUCUGGGCCAACACUGACACUGAGGCACGAAAGCGUGGGGAGCAAACAGGAUUAGAUACCCCAGUAGUCCCUGUCUCUUAUAC
rnacentral:rRNA from 1 species